UACGUAGGGUGCAAGCGUUAAUCGGAAUUACUGGGCGUAAAGCGUGCGCAGGCGGUUCGGAAAGAAAGAUGUGAAAUCCCAGGGCUUAACCUUGGAACUGCAUUUUUAACUGCCGGGCUAGAGUAUGUCAGAGGGGGGUAGAAUUCCACGUGUAGCAGUGAAAUGCGUAGAGAUGUGGAGGAAUACCGAUGGCGAAGGCAGCCCCCUGGGUCAAGACUGACGCUCAUGCACGAAAGCGUGGGGAGCAAACAGG
rnacentral:rRNA from 1 species